rnacentral:pre_miRNA from 1 species
GAGACACCCUUAUGGGGCAGGAUUUGCUUCAAUGGGGCUUUGGUGCUCACUGAGUCUGCCCCCCUGAGUUUGUCUCU